AGUACCGAAAAAUUGUUGACCACAU
rnacentral:rasiRNA from 1 species